GGGUAACGGGGUGUUAGGGCACGACACCGGNNNNNGAGCCUGAGAAACGGCUACCACAUCCAAGGAUGGCAGCAGGCGCGCAAAUUACCCAAUCCCGACACGGGGAGGUAGUGACAAUAAAUAACAAUACGGGGUUCUUUAGGAUCUCGUAAUUGGAAUGAGUACAAUUUAAAUCUCUUAACGAGGAACAAUAGGAGGGCAAGUCUGGUGCCAGCAGCCGCGGUAAUUCCAGCUCCAAUAGCGUAUAUUAAAGUUGUUGCAGUUAAAAAGCUCGUAGUUGAAUUUCGGGGUUAGUAGGUUGGUCAUGCCUCUGGUAUGUACUGGUCUCACUGAUUCCUCCUUCCUGAUGAGCCGUAAUGCCAUUAAUUUGGUGUUGCGGGGAAUUUGGACUGUUACUUUGAAAAAAUUAGAGUGUUUAAAGCAAGCUAACGCUUGAAUACAUUAGCAUGGGAUAAUGAAAUAGGACGUUCGAUCCUAUUUUGUUGGUUUCUAGGAUUGACGUAAUGAUUAAUAGGGAUAGUUGGGGGCAUUAGUAUUCAAUUGUCAGAGGUGAAAUUCUUGGAUUUAUUGAAGACUAACUACUGCGAAAGCAUUUGCCAAGGAUGUUUUCAUUAAUCAAGAACGAAAGUUAGGGGAUCGAAGACGAUCAGAUACCGUCGUAGUCUUAACCAUAAACUAUGCCGACUAGGGAUCGGAUGAUG
rnacentral:rRNA from 1 species